AGUAACACGUGGAUAACCUACCUAUAAGACUGGGAUAACUUCGGGAAACCGGAGCUAAUACCGGAUAAUAUAUUGAACCGCAUGGUUCAAAAGUGAAAGACGGUCUUGCUGUCACUUAUAGAUGGAUCCGCGCUGCAUUAGCUAGUUGGUAAGGUAACGGCUUACCAAGGCAACGAUGCAUAGCCGACCUGAGAGGGUGAUCGGCCACACUGGAACUGAGACACGGUCCAG
rnacentral:rRNA from 1 species